CUGUGCGAAGCGAAUGCGCCGCAGAAAUUUGACCGCUACGCCUCUGGGCGGCGGCUAUAAGGUUGAAAUGGCCAGGAA
rnacentral:ribozyme from 15 species